rnacentral:rRNA from 1 species
UUAAACCAUGGUGGAAUAUUGAAUGUACCAGUUCCCAGUGGAUCACUGAAGUUAAGCAAUGUUGCGCGUGGUUAGUGUCCGGACGGGUGACCUUCUGGACCAGCGACUGGGCGGAUUAAU